rnacentral:lncRNA from 1 species
GAAUAAAAGUAACUGGCACCAAAUGUAAUUUGCAGUCAAAUUCACAUCAACUGUGAAGUUACUCAAAGUAUUUGGGACUGCAGGGGCCUAGAAAACAUGCAUAUUCUCUUUGGAGGAUGAAAUCUUCAUUCUAGUUUUCAGAGAAUUUCCUCAACUAAAUUUUCAAGGACAGUAAGCAGGAAACAAAGUUAACCAAAUACAUGAGGAAAGAAAGACUGUAAAUGAAAACCAAUAGAAAUAGAUCCACACUGAGUUCACAUAACAUUU